rnacentral:rRNA from 1 species
AUUGAACGCUGGCGGCAUGCCUUACACAUGCAAGUCGAACGGUAACGGGCCUUCGGGUGCCGACGAGUGGCGAACGGGUGAGUAAUACAUCGGAACGUGCCCGAUCGUGGGGGAUAACGAGGCGAAAGCUUUGCUAAUACCGCAUACGAUCUACGGAUGAAAGCAGGGGACCGCAAGGCCUUGCGCGGACGGAGCGGCCGAUGGCAGAUUAGGUAGUUGGUGGGAUAAAAGCUUACCAAGCCGACGAUCUGUAGCUGGUCUUAGAGGAUGAUCAGCCACACUGGGACUGAGACACGGCCCAGACUCCUACGGGAGGCAGCAGUGGGGAAUGUUGGACAAUGGGCGCAAGCCUGGUCCAGCCAUGCCGCGUGCAGGAUGAAGGCCUUCGGGUUGUAAACUGCUUUUGUACGGAACGAAAAGCCUUCUUUUAAUACAGGAGGGUCAUGACGGUACCGUAAGAAUAAGCACCGGCUAACUACGUG